AGAGUUUGAUCCUGGCUCAGGAUGAACGCUAGCGGCAGGCCUAAUACAUGCAAGUCGAACGGGUCGCAAGGCCAGUGGCAAACGGGUGCGUAACGCGUAAGCAACCUGCCUCAUACUGGGGGAUAGCCCGGCGAAAGCUGGGGUAAACCCGCACGGUCCAUUUCUGUCACCUGGCAGGUUUGGUAAACAUUUAUGGGUAUGAGAGGGGCUUGCGUCUGAUUAGCUAGUUGGGGGGUAACGCCCACCAAGGCGAUGAUCAGUAGGGGUUCUGAGAGGAUUGGCCCCCAAUGGGUACUGAGAUACGGACCCAACUCCUACGGGAGGCAGCAGUAGGGAAUAUUGGGCAAUGGACGGAAGUCUGACCCAGCCAUGCCGCGUGCAGGAUGAAGGCGCUCAGCGUUGUAAACUGCUUUUAUCAGGGAAGAAAAGUGGUCCUGCGGGAUUAUGUGACGGUACCUGAGGAAUAAGCACCGGCUAACUCCGUGCCAGCAGCCGCGGUAAUACGGAGGGUGCAAGCGUUGUCCGGAUUUAUUGGGUUUAAAGGGUGCGUAGGUGGUAUUCUAAGUCUGGUUUGAAAGCUGGUCGCUUAACGAUCAGAUGUGGCUGGAAACUGGAGUACUUGAAUGCGUUGGCGGUAGCCGGAAUGGGUCAUGUAGCGGUGAAAUGCAUAGAUAUGACCCGGAACACCGAUUGCGAAGGCAGGCUACUACGACGUGAUUGACACUGAGGCACGAGAGCAUGGGUAGCGAACAGGAUUAGAUACCCUGGUAGUCCAUGCCGUAAACGAUGAUUACUGGCUGUUUGCGUUCAAACGUGAGUGGCUGAGCGAAAGCGUUAAGUAAUCCACCUGGGGAGUACGCUGGCAACAGUGAAACUCAAAGGAAUUGACGGGGG
rnacentral:rRNA from 1 species